AUGACGGAUCCGGUCAAAUUUUUAGUAAUUUCUCUAAGAUAUAAAUUGAAAGAAAGUUUUUCAAGUAUAAUCGUGUUAACUUGGACGAGUAAAUACAUCGAUCAUCUUAUUUUAUGGGACUUUUAUUCAACUUCACGUUCACAUUUGGUGAUUCUCCAGUUUCAACCCUCUGCUCUUCCUGUGAUUUUCAGUCGCCUUACAUACACGAUGGACCAAAAGUCGUUUUCAGACUGGGUGAAGAAACAGCUGUCAACGCUGUUAGGAUUUCAAGUUCCUGAUGAAAUGAUUCAAAUGAUACUGAAUCAUCAAAAGAAAGAAGAAUUAGAAAAGGAUUUGUGCUCUCUCUUGGAUGUUGGGAAUGAAGCUCAUUUUAAGUUCAUGAGAGAACUCAUAUCAAAAAAAGAGAGAUUGCUCAAAAAUUCCAAAACAUCUAAGGAACCAAGUAACAGUCAUCCGAAACAAACAGCAAAUCAGUCUAAACAGCAACAUUCUCAGAAAGUAAUUCAAAACAACAACCAUCAAAAAACACAUCUCAGUCAACGCCAUCAAACCAACAGCAAUCAAAUAAAAAUAAGAAAGCAUCGCAGAAAAAUGAAUCAGAAAAAGCACCUCCAAACAACACAAAACCUGCCAAGGUAUGCCCAAUGGUUUAUUUUACAUGAAAUUACUUCUGAGCUCAUAGCAUCUUUGCUGAGUGAUUUAUGUAUAUACUUCGCUCAAAUAAGUCCUCAAUCAUUCAACAUUCCUCUGUAGGAAGAAGUUGGGUUGUUUUUGUAGCUCA
rnacentral:lncRNA from 1 species